rnacentral:sRNA from 1 species
UGAAUGGAAAACUUUCGUGUGUAAUCGA